rnacentral:rRNA from 1 species
AUUGAACGCUGGCGGCAGGCCUAAAACAGGCAAGUAGAGCGGAGCGGCGGACGGGUGAGUAAUGCCUAGGAAUCUGCAUGGGAGUGGGGGAUAACGUCCGGAAAAGGGCGCUAAUACCGCAUAAUAUAAGAUGAGCCUAGGUCGGAUUAGCUAGUUGGUGGGGUAAAGGCCUACCAAGGCGACGAUCCGUAACUGGUCUGAGAGGAUGAUCAGUCACACGAGAACUAGAACACUCUCCCGACUCCUACGGGAGGCAGCAGUGGGGAAUAUUGGACAAUGGGCGACUACCUAAUCCAGCCAUGCCGCGUGUAUACAGAAGGUCUUCGGAUUGUAAAUCACUUUAAGUUGGGAGGCAUUACCAACAGAAUAAGCACCGGCUAACUUCGUGCCUGCAGCCGCGGUAAUAC